UGGGGAAUAUUGGACAAUGGGCGAAAGCCUGAUCCAGCCAUGCCGCGUGUGUGAAGAAGGUCUUCGGAUUGUAAAGCACUUUAAGUUGGGAGGAAGGGCAUUAACCUAAUACGUUAGUGUUUUGACGUUACCGACAGAAUAAGCACCGGCUAACUCUGUGCCAGCAGCCGCGGUAAUACAGAGGGUGCAAGCGUUAAUCGGAAUUACUGGGCGUAAAGCGCGCGUAGGUGGUUUUUUAAGUGGGAUGUGAAAGCCCCGGGCUCAACCUGGGAACUGCAUCCAAAACUGGCAAGCUAGAGUACGGUAGAGGGUGGUGGAAUUUCCUGUGUAGCGGUGAAAUGCGUAGAUAUAGGAAGGAACACCAGUGGCGAAGGCGACCACCUGGACUGAUACUGACACUGAGGUGCGAAAGCGUGGGGAGCAAACA
rnacentral:rRNA from 1 species